AGUAAUACAUAAGUAACCUGCCCUAGACAGGGGGAGUAACUAUUGGAAACGAUAGCUAAGACCGCAUAGGUACGGACACUGCAUGGUGACCGUAUUAAAAGUGCCUCAAAGCACUGGUAGAGGAUGGACUUAUGGCGCAUUAGCUGGUUGGCGGGGUAACGGCCCACCAAGGCGACGAUGCGUAGCCGACCUGAGAGGGUGACCGGCCACACUGGGACUGAGACACGGCCCAGACUCCUACGGGAGGCAGCAUG
rnacentral:rRNA from 1 species